UCGUGUAUGAUUGUUUGCUUCACCCGUGCAAUAUUUCUGAUUUUAUUUAAAAAAACGAAAUUUCUUAAAGCAUAUAUCUAUAGUUAAAAUUUCUUAAUUAAGUUUUUAUUAAUACUAAUACUAGUUUUUGUGAAAACAGAAAAGGGGUAUCAUAAAAGUGACCCUCGCCCGAUUUACUUUAAUGAAAAAAAUAGAUUCGCGCUUAUUUAAUAUCUUCAUGAGACAAACUAUUAAAUUUAUAAACUGUAUUUAAGUGUGAUAAAAUUGCGCGCAAAUGCAAAACGUCCUCGGGAAAAUAUCGAUGUGCGGUUCGGACCCGGAGUUGUGUGUUCGGUGGGACUAUGUUAUUCCUCAGUGCCUUAGCAAUCGGAGUGAUAACAAGCCUUCAGAAUGGUACGGUGGAGCUAACGGCGACGGACAGUGACAUAGCAUCAACGACGACAGAUAUGGGCUUGAUAGAGACCUCGAGGGUACCUGAUAGCGGCGAUUUUGUAAACGUGACCAUUCAAGAACGGCCCUCGAUGUGGGACUUGUAUUUGAACCACUGCCCGCGUUGGAGGCCUAUAAACCAUAUAUUUUUCCAAGUAUCAAAUGUGUUCUUCUUGCUCUCAUUUUUGGCACCCCACACUCCUAGUGGCCUCAUUUGGCUACGUGUUGCCCUUAUCCUAGGCUGCACCUUCUCGGGCCUGUGGGCUUGGAGUAUAGAGUGCUAUUUGGAUGCUGUGCUGUGGAAUAGUGCUUUCAUCAUUAUUAAUUUUGUGUACUUUGCUGUUCAGUUUUAUUUGAUGAGGCCUAUCAAGUUUCACAAGGAGAUUGAAGAGGUAUACGUAGCCCUCUUCAAGCCACUUAGGGUGUCGCGGAGGCAGUUUCGACGUGUUCUGAUGUGCAUGCGCAAUGUCAGGCAUCUCAAGUGUCAUGAGCUAUACGCCCAUGAGAAAGUCACGAAGGUGGACAGUCUGUCACUCGUGCUGAGUGGAAAGUUGGUAGUGUCACAGAAUCAACGCGCACUGCAUAUAGUGUUUCCGCAUCACUUCCUAGACUCACCGGAGUGGUUCGGGGUUUCCACUGACGAGUUCUUUCAGGUCUCAAUAAUGGCGAUGGAGGAAUCACGUGUGUUGGUGUGGCACCGGGACAAGUUAAAACUGUCGAUAAUGUCCGACGCGUUUCUGCAGGCUGUGUUUGACCACAUCCUUGGUAGAGACGUCGUUCACAAGCUCAUGCAGGUGAGCGAAACAAUGGCUGUCAGUAACGGCCACCUGCCGAACAGUUAUGAGGAGGGCGAGGAUAAGCCAAUGCUCAUAGUCAAGAAGGCUGGCGAUGGGCCCGGAAUAACCGCAUUGCUUAAUCGACAAUUACAAGGCGAGCACGCGCCAUUGCUCCGAGCGCCGCCUGUGCCCGAGUGCUGAACUACGACUAAAUCCAUAUUCCCUUUCCCUAUGACUAAUUGUUUCAACUUUGAACUCUAGUAUCGAAGCAUAAGGUUAUUUUUCCUAUGACCGAUCAAAAGAAGACCUUAUAUAAAAGUUGAAACAAUUUUUAUAUUGUCAAAAUUUAUCCGUCCCUUUAUAAUUAACGAAUCUAUUUUAUACGAUGUAUUAUAUUGCUCAAUUGGUAUUAAUUUUUAUUAUGGAAACCGCUUCAUUUUAAUAUCGGUAUUUUUAAAAGAAUUCUCUAUGUCAAAUACGGAAUCGGUUUCAAAAAUAUAUACAUAUUUAAUAUGUUCUUAUUUGCAUUAUACCAUCACUCCUAUGUCCUUAUCACAAUUUAUCAAUUUAAUGUGAUUUAUAUGUGUACCUGUUAUAUGCACAUUAACCCGGAGUUCCAAAAAAGAUUUGGGAAUGGAACAUGUAUGGCACCAUUAGUCCACAUUUAUAUGCCACUAUUUUUGAUACUUUUUGCCUAAAAUCAGAGACAAAUUUAAAAGCAAAUUUACUCUCUUAUCGGAUUUUGAAAUGUAAGAGAGUGAGUUUGAACGCUGUCUCGUUAGAUUUAAUGUUAUAUUUAACCAUGACAUAUUCACUAGUAUUAUAAAGUACAAUCAAUAGAUAUUACCAGUAUUAACGCACAAUUAUUUAGUGACUUAAGUAUUAUUAAGUAUAUGUACGAUUUUAUAUUAGACUGAUUAAUCUACUUGAAAAUACAGUUGAUUCGAUAGAUGGCGCUGUAGCUGGUUAUAUUUUCUGACAAAAACUUACCAUUUUCUAAAAACCGAUUCUUACACAAUUAAAGCUAGAAUUACGGCUUUGGCUAAGAAACUUAUUGGCUGAAAAGUUAUUCCUUAAAACAUAUACUUACUUCGCUGAAUGAUUCUUAGACAAACCAACUUUCACUGCAAAUAAAAACAUAAAUAUUUUGAUAUUAAGAACAAUUGUACGAAAAAAAUUGUAAAUGGCAUUUCUCCUUCAAACCUGUGUUGAUUAAUCAGUCUUAAAUUGCAUGUUCAUAUCAGAGUCCCUGUGCCUGUCUUAUAUUUUUGUGUGAUUUAAGUUCAUAUAAGUAGUCUUAAUUCGCACAUGUAUAUGUAUUUAUAAGUAUUUUGGGUCGAGAUAAUCACGCUUGGCUGUCAUACAACAUCCUUAGUUCCCGCACUUUGACUUUGACAUUUGACAGCGACAGAUCGACCUAGUGUUACCAGAUUUCAACUUGCUUUUCAUAUGACUCAAGCAUGGUGUAUCUUGACCUACCACCAUAUAUAAUGUUACCUUAUUCAGUAUCUAGUAUCCUAGUUCCCAUACCGUUAUUCCUAAGCAUGUUGAAGAAUCAAGUGAAUCAGCAACAGAUCCGAACGCAUGGCGUCUUGGCAGAAUCGAAGAGACAGACCACGAAACACCAGUCUGAGGUCACGCUUUGCACCUGGCGGUUAGACCGCGCAGGCGCGACCAUCGCUAGGGCAUUUAAGACUUUAUGUUUAUUAACAUAAGGACGAAUUAAUAUGUCCUGAAUAUAGGUGAACCUGCAGCGCUACAAGUUUGUUUUGGCAACUCUAUUUUUAAAGAGUGAAGGUUUAUUUUAGCGAGUCAAAGCCAAUUGUCAAAAUGAUCCGAAUUUUCUGAGUUGUCAACGCGGUACGUGUCAGCUGUCAAUAAGGAUCUUAAAACACGUAAUAUCUGUUUUUAUUGCAUUUAGUGGUUUGUUUUUAAUUUGACCGUCUAUAUAUGAUACCAAUAUUAUGACUCCACAGCAACUUAGAAAAUUCGGUGAUUUUUAAAUUCAUUGCUUUAAGUACACGAUUUUCGGCUUUGUUUUGCGGUUAGCUUCAGAGUAUGUUUUCGUUUAAAAGAAUUGUAACACUAUUCUUAUUUCUCUGUAUUUAACCUUUUGGAGUAAUUAGGAUUCAAUCUAUUUCUAUCUGUGAUCGUUGGUAAUCAUAUAUUUUUGAGUUGUUUAUGGUACCGGCAUUGUUUUAACAUCUGAACAACAAAUAAACAAGGAUUCCAUUUCACAUCAAUAAUACCAGCAGUUCCAAAAAAAAAAUGGUUUUUUUGUUUCGCAUUUUUGGUAAAGAUUAUAUACAGAGAAAUAGUAGUCUUCGCGUUUGAUAAAAAAAGUAGCUUUAAACGUUGAGCAAAUGAUCAGUAUUGGCUAGAUGUGCUUGAAUUUGUGAUUGGAACGGAUCUCUGUAGGUGUAUUGUAUUAAAUUAAGACGGUAUCGCGAAGUUUUUUAAAGCAACCCGGAUACAGCGCAUUAAAGCAAGUAUUGCUGCCUCUUUUUACACGAUACAGUGCGAAAGAGGCCAAUAUAACGAUAUAUAUUUUGUAUGGAAUUAUUGUUUAUACCCAAUACUAUCACGUGAAUUGGUUAAUCUGUCUCUUUCGUAUUGUGCGAUGUGAUAGAGAUAGCAAUAAUUUAGAUUUUGGUGGCUUUUUGAACUUCUAAAUCUUAUUUAAAUGUAGAAACAAUAAAUGUGGUUUAAAACGCGCUUAAUCUAUCCUGAUUUAUCCUUUUUUUUUACAAAGUAUCACACAAAAUAAAAUAGAUUUUACUGGAUUGAAACACGUUUAAGAAUAUUAAAACUAUUUACCGUUAACACAGACAAACAAUGACUAAAGUUUAUUUUAUUUUUGUCAUACAAAUACGUCAGAAAUUUUAAAGGCGUAAAUCAUUUUUGUUUUUCAUUCUUCAUUUGUUUCACUCGACUAUUAUCUAAAACUGAACAAUUAUAUUAAGCUCCUUUUAAACCCACACUUUUUACUUUUAUUUAACAAACAAUAUUUUGUCAAACAAUUUUGACGCGUUUUAAAAAUCCAAAUAUUUAUUUUGACUAGAGACAUUUAUUUUUCGACUUCGCGAUCCAAAAUCGCAAUAUAUAUUUGUAAUGUCAUAAACAAAUAUUAUUUUGUGUAAACUUUUAUAAGUGACUGAACUGAUGUCGGAUGAUUGUAAAUAACUAUGUACAAAAGUAGGUUUUUGGAUGUGCUAGAGAAAUAGAAAAAAAUAUAUUUUAUUGACCAGAACUCAGUUGAAGCCAUAAAUACUAAAGCAAAUAGGCACAGCAACCGGCAAGUAAAAGCCAGAUGAAACAAUCAACUCUCAUUCCACAACAUUGUUUAUGAAACAGAACUCGAGCCCCUUACAACAUUAUCUAUAAUCUAUUGUUAAGAAGCAUUAUUCUUUUUAAAAAAUAUCAUUUUAAAACUCUAUUGUAAUGUCAAACUUCAUGGAGUUUUUUGUUUGACAGGUUAAUUUUAAUUUACGUUAUGUUGUAAGUUAUGAUUCUACCCAUACUGAGACAUCUUUAAUCUUGUUUCAAGAGUUGUUGUAUUGUUGAAUAUGGGCCUACGAGCAUCUAGAUAUAACUGGUAUCUUGGACAUUUUGAAUUAUAAUUAACGCACAAAAUUCGUAUGUCAUAAAAUGUUGCGGGGAUAAAUGUGUUUAUAUAUAUCGGAUGUAUAGAGAAGAUGUUUGGAAAAAGACAAUUUUUAUGUUUGGUUCUAAACUUUCUUUUAAAUUAUAACAUUGAAUCGCACAUCCAGAAGGGAUGAUAGAAAAUAAUUGACACUCCUGAUUAUUUGUAUUAGCUUUAAACCAUUGUAAUUUAUACAGACAAGUACAAUUAUUCCCAUUACAUAAUAUUCGUAAUGAUAUUUACUAGUUGUAUGCAACGCAAAAUUUUGUUAAAAUGACUAUGUAAUUAUAAUGAUAUCAUACGCACUGCCAUUGCAAAUGUUUGUAGCUAAUUGAUUCAUAUGAAUAUGUUGGAUCUCGAUGUGUGAAUAACAAUUACCAUUUAACUAAUUGGUUACUUAUCAAGUGUUCAAGAAUUGAAAUUAAAAAAAAGAGGUGAUAACAACAUGAAGGUCAGACACUUGUAACAAUAGGCUCUUGCUUUUAUAAUUACAAUAUAUUUAUUAAACUAUCUGUUUAAAUAAAUAUUUUGUAUGAAAUUAUAUCUGAACAUCCAUAGAUCCAUAUCUUGGAAAUUUUCAGCUCUUGAAUUAUUGAACAAUAAAAUGCCGGCUAAUUAAAAGUAACAAGCUAAAGGUUUAUAAAUUGAAAGUAUACUAAAUAGAAUGAAUAAAGAUUAAAAAUUCAAUAAAAUAUGUAACCUUGGUGAUUGUUCACUUCUAAAAUGCCUUAAAAAGUUGCCAUGUGUGAUAAUGUAAAUUAUGUGUGGUUGGUCAUUUGAAUCAUUGUAGCAUAAUAUGUUAAUAAGAUAGAAAAUUAAAUUACCUUAUGAAUUGUGUAAA